CUAUUAUGCAUGUAAUAAUUGAUAAUCAAGAGUUGUGAAGGAUUUUAAAAGAGUUUGGAAUUUGCUAGAAUCGUGGAAAGCGAAAUUAAGGGCGAAUCAGCUGAAUUAGUCCAAUUGAGGAAUGCAAUGUAACAGUAAAAAUAUUAGCUACAAGUGGUAAUGGAAGUGAGCGCACGUAAUUUUUGUGUGAUUUCGCAAAUAUUUGUUAAAAUUUGUGAAAAGUAUUUGUUUAAAGUAUUAAAUUGUGUUUUUGUUUAAUUUAAAGUUAAAAUCUUUAUUAACUGCAAAAAAUAGUGUCGUGAAAGUCGUAAUGCGUUAAAUUCCUUGUGUAAAUUCUUUAAAUGCGUGUUCGGGUACGGGGCGUAUGUAUGUCAAUUUUAUAUUAUAUUACAGUAGAACAACAAGCGAAUAAGAAAAUUGUGAAAAUAUAUAUGUACAUAUAUUAUUGGCAACAUCAAAAGUGGAAUUUUAGCGCCUCUUAUAGUAAAUGGAAACAAAUGAGAACACAAAGGCUAUAAAAACAUAUUUGUUAUGGAAUCGCACAUAAGAUAUUAUAAAAAAUAGCGCGUAGUGUAAUAUUGCCAAGCCAACUUUAAAAGGCCUUCAUUGCGUGUAGCGAUUCACGUUUAAUAUCUUCAAUUGAAUCAAAACAUUUUCUCCGAAGCGGUCGUCUGAGUGUGCUGUAUACUCAGAAGUCACUUGACGCCAAAAUCAGGCGAAUACAGUGCCUGCGGCACGAUAUUGGUUGAAAUUUUGGCGAAAACUCACGAAGAAUGAAUGCAGUAUGCGUCAAUGCAUUAUCGUAGUUUUGGCCGGUCAUAAGGAAUUUGGAGUACACCACACAUCGAUAAUCGAAGCAAACUGCCAAC